rnacentral:rRNA from 1 species
AAUCCUACGGGACGCAGCAGUGAGGGAUAUUGGUCAAUGGGGGAAACCCUGAACCAGCAACGCCGCGUGAGGGAAGACGGUUUUCGGAUUGUAAACCUCUGUCCUCUGUGAAGAUAAUGACGGUAGCAGAGGAGGAAGCUCCGGCUAACUACGUGCCAGCAGCCGCGGUAAUACGUAGGGGGCAAGCGUUGUCCGGAAUUAUUGGGCGUAAAGAGUACGUAGGCGGUCUGUUAAGCGCAAGGUGAAAGGCAUAGGCUCAACCAAUGUGAGCCUUGCGAACUGGCAGACUUGAGUGCAGG